CUCUGGGGCAGUUCAGUUGAUAGAGCAUGAGAUUCUGAAUCUUAGGGCUGUGGGUUCAAGCUCAACUUUGGGGG